CGGUUGAAUAAUCAAAGAACGAUACUGCGAUAUCGUUCUUUGAUAUCGGCGUGCAUUGCCGGCGAUCGGACCAAUGUGGGGGCCAGCGGUAGUUAUGUGCCUAUCGUGAAUAGUGUGAAACAGUGGACCCCUGGAUCAAACCGUCUAUCCAAGAAAAUCGCAAAAGACCGAACCGUGGACCGGCUCUACCUCUACCCUGCUCUCCGCUAACAGUGUUGCAACCACAGCCGGUGAUUGAGACAUCGGUUUUGUCCGUGUCUGAGCCGCCUGCAGAGACCGUUACUGUACAGCCGGAUGGAGGCAUUCAGCAUGUCCUUGGAGAUCCUCAGUAUGCACCACUACCAGAACUGACC
ensembl:lncRNA